rnacentral:misc_RNA from 1 species
GAUGAGGAACGCAGCGAAAUGCGAUACUUGGUGUGAAUUGCAGAAUCCCGUGAACCAUCGAGUCUUUGAACGCAAGUUGCGCCCGAAGCCACUAGGCCGAGGGCACGCCUGCCUGGGCGUCACACGCCGUUGCCCCCCCAUCUACUCCUUCGGGAUUGCGGGGGGGCGGAUGAUGGCCUCCCGUGCGCCUAGCCGCGCGGUUGGCAUAAAUACCAAGUCCUCGGCGACGCACGCCACGACAAUCGGUGGUUGCGAAACCUCGGUUGCCCGUCGUGUGCGUUCGUCGCGCAUCGAGGGCUCGAAAAAAUGCUCGGCUCCGGCUGGGCUUUCAACGCGACCCCAGGUCAGGCGGGGUUACCCGCUGAAUUUAAGCAUAUCAAUAAGCGGAGGA